rnacentral:rRNA from 1 species
GUGUCAGCCGCCGCGGUAAUACGUAGGGUGCAGGCGUUAAUCGGAAUUACUGGGCGUAAAGCGUGCGCAGGCGGUUUCUUAAGUCAGAUGUGAAAGCCCCGGGCUUAACCUGGGAACUGCGUUUGAAACUGGGAGACUCGAGUAUGUCAGAGGGGGGUGGAAUUCCACGUGUAGCAGUGAAAUGCGUAGAGAUGUGGAGGAACACCGAUGGCGAAGGCAGCCCCCUGGGAUAAUACUGACGCUCAUGCACGAAAGCGUGGGGAGCAAACAGGAUUAGAAACCCGGGUAGUCC